AGAGACACUUUCUGAGACCUUGCGAGACCUCAGAACCUGACUUUUGGUGCCACCGAAAUUCAGGUUCUGAGGUCUCGCAAGGCCUCAGAGAGCACCUCU